rnacentral:rRNA from 1 species
UCCGGUUGAUCCUGCCGGACCCGACUGCUAUCAGAGUGGGACUAAGCCAUGCGAGUCAACAUAGCAAUAUGUGGCAUACGGCUCAGUAACACGUAGUCAACAUGCCCAGGGGACGUGGAUAACCUCGGGAAACUGAGGAUAAACCGCGAUAAGUCACUGCUUCUGGAAUGGGCAAUGACUUAAAUCUAUAUGGCCCCUGGAUUGGACUGCGGCCGAUCAGGCUGUUGGUGAGGUAAUGACCCACCAAACCUGUAACCGGUACGGGCUCUGAGAGGAGGAGCCCGGAGAUGGGCACUGAGACAAGGGCCCAGGCCCUAUGGGGCGCAGCAGGCGCGAAACCUCUGCAAUAGGCGAAAGCCUGACAGGGUUACUCUGAGUGAUUUCCGUUAAGGAGAUCUUUUGGCACCUCUAAAAAUGGUGCAGAAUAAGGGGUGGGCAAGUCUGGUGUCAGCCGCCGCGGUAAUACCAGCACCCCGAGUGGUCGGGACGUUUAUUGGGCCUAAAGCAUCCGUAGCCGGUUCUGCAAGUCUUCCGUUAAAUCCACCUGCUUAACAGAUGGGCUGCGGAAGAUACUAUAGAGCUAGGAGGCGGGAGAGGCAAGCGGUACUCGAUGGGUAGGGGUAAAAUCCGUUGAUCCAUUGAAGACCACCAGUGGCGAAGGCGGCUUGCCAGAACGCGCUCGACGGUGAGGGAUGAAAGCUGGGGGAGCAAACCGGAUUAGAUACCCGGGUAGUCCCAGCUGUAAACGAUGCAGACUCGGUGAUGAAUUGGCUUUAUGCCAAUUCAGUGCCGCAGGGAAGCCGUUAAGUUUGCCGCCUGGGGAGUACGGUCGCAAGACUGAAACUUAAAGGAAUUGGCGGGGGAGCACCACAAGGGGUGAAGCCUGCGGUUCAAUUGGAGUCAACGCCGGAAAUCUUACCGGGGGCGACAGCAGAAUGAAGGUCAAGCUGAAGACUUUACCAGACAAGCUGAGAGGAGGUGCAUGGCCGUCGCCAGCUCGUGCCGUGAGGUGUCCUGUUAAGUCAGGUAACGAGCGAGACCCCUGCCUCUAGUUGCUACCAUUAUUCUCAGGAGUAGUGGAGCUAAUUAGAGGGACUGCCGUCGCUGAGACGGAGGAAGGAGGGGGCUACGGCAGGUCAGUAUGCCCCGAAACCCUAGGGCCACACGCGGGCUGCAAUGGUAAGGACAAUGAGUAUCGAUUCCGAAAGGAGGAGGCAAUCUCUAAACCUUACCACAGUUAUGAUUGAGGGCUGAAACUCGCCCUCAUGAAUAUGGAAUCCCUAGUAACCGCGUGUCACUAUCGCGCGGUGAAUACGUCCCUGCUCCUUGCACACACCGCCCGUCGCUUCAUCGAAGUUGGUUCUUGGCGAGGUGAUGCCUAAUUGGUACUAUCGAACCUGGGGUCAGCAACGAGGGAG